rnacentral:rRNA from 1 species
CCUACGGGAGGCAGCAGUAGGGAAUUUUGCGCAAUGGGCGAAAGCCUGACGCAGCAACGCCGCGUGAUUGAUGAAGCGCUUCGGGGUGUAAAGAUCUGUCAGCGGGGACGAAACUUGACGGUACCCACAGAGGAAGCACCGGCUAACUCCGUGCCAGCAGCCGCGGUAAUACGGAGGGUGCAAGCGUUGUCCGGAAUCAUUGGGCGUAAAGAGUCCGUAGGUGGCAUAUUAAGUCUGGUGUUAAAUGCCGAAGCUCAACUUCUGUUCGGCACUGGAAACUGGUAAGCUUGAGUGCGGUAGAGGUAAGGGGAAUUCCUGGUGUAGCGGUGAAAUGCGUAGAUAUCAGGAGGAACACCGGUGGCGUAGGCGGUUUACUGGACCGUAAUUGACGCUGAGGAACGAAAGCCUGGGUAGCAAAUGGGAUUAGAUACCCCUGUAGUC